rnacentral:rRNA from 1 species
UACGAGGGGGGCGAGCGUUGUUCGGAACUAUUGGGCGUAAAGGGUGCGUAGGCGGUCUGUCACGUCGGCUGUGAAAUCCCGAGGCUCAACCUCGGGUCUGCAGUCGAUACGGGCAAACUAGAGUAUUGCAGGGGAGACUGGAAUUCCUGGUGUAGCGGUGAAAUGCGCAGAUAUCAGGAGGAACACCGGUGGCGAAGGCGGGUCUCUGGGCAAUAACUGACGCUGAGGAGCGAAAGCGUGGGGAGCGAACAGG